ensembl:lincRNA
CAAGCAGCAGAGGUCAUGCCUAAAAGCUUAUUAAGCUGCCGGUGUGAAAGGUAAGGCCAUCUGGUUGCCAUUUGACAACUUAAGUGGUAAUUACACCAUUUGGCACAGGAAUUAGUGAGAGCUGGGGCUUGAACUGUGGCAGGGACCACUUUUUUUUCUGCAGGAGGGUGGCUUGGGGCAGUCCCGAUCCUAGCAGCUCACAGUCCUAGCCGCUGUUUGUGGCUUGCAGGUUCUCUGCCCAGUUCCUUGGAUGGGCAGGCUUGAUAACCAGGAACACCUGCCUUCUCAGCUCUCCUGUCCAGGGAAGGGAGGUGGGCAGCGGGGGCAGCUUCCAGCAACAUUCCACCCCAGCAAUAUGGAAGUGUUUAAGCAGGGUUUGCACCAGGCAGGGUAGCUGAGAUCUGAACCUUUAAAUUACAGCCAUUCCCGGGCUGAGGAAAAGUAAAUAAACAGUUCACAGCUGCAGCCAACUCAACACAGAAACGGGCUAUCUCUUCUGAUUGCAGGGCAAGUAAUUAAGUGAGAAAUGUGAGCCCUGCAGUCAGGGUGAGAUGGUAAAGGUCUGGGGCAGUAAGUCCCCCCAACUCCAGAGACCUUCCGAUUAACCCUCGCGCAGCCAGGAGGGGAGAGGGACGCGCAGGCUUGGAGGUGAAGCCCAGAUGAGGGGCACUGGCUUUGCGAUUGUCAAAAGCCAGCUAACUAUAAAUGGCCUUACCUCGCUGUGCUUGGCUGAGGGAAUACGCUGAGGGUGAGAAUCCGCGUUCUCAGCAGUCCACCCAUGGACGCACUUCACAACAGAACCACCAUGAGAACAGCUGGUACUCAUGGACCAGUGGCAGCUGGAUGACCCGCAGUCACCAUCCACUGAAUCCUUCCAGGAACACCUGCACGUGGAAGCAGGCAGAUGCUGACCCACCCACUAAAGCUGAGGCCGAAGGAAAUUCUCCGAUGACAAGGCUCUGCAGGUGCCAUACGGAGCGAGUGCUUUUCAGGCAGCUGGCGGAGCCCAGAGCAAGCUUCCCCCAGAGCAUCCGAAGGGGCCACUUGGCUGCAGUCGCCAUCGCGAGAACAACAGGAAACUGA